UAUAGUUGAUUUACAAUGUUGUGCUCAUUUCUUCUGUAUGACAAAGUGACUCAUUCUUUUUUAAAAAAUAUUCUUUUCCAUCAUGGUUUAUCAUAAGACGUUGAAUAUAGUUCUCUGUGCUAUAGUAGGACGUUGUUGUUUAGGACGUUGUUGUUCAGGAUAAAAAUAGCUUACAUCUGCUAACCCUCACCUCCGACUCCACCCCUCUCCCAACCCCCUCCCCCUCGGACAGGCCAAAAUUUUAUCUAACCUGUUAAUUUUUCUUUCUUAUUAAAGUUGAUUUAUAAUGUGCCAAUUUCUGCUGUACAGCAAGUUAACACAGUCAUACAUGCAUAUACAUACCUUCCUUUUCUUGUAUUAUCUUCCAUCAUGGUCUAUCCCAAGAGACUGGAUAUAGUUCCUUGUUCUAUAGAGUUGGACCUCAUUGCUGAUCCAUUCUAAAUGUAAUGGUUUGAACCUACUAACCUCAAACUCCCAGUCCAUCCUACUCCCUCCCCCUUGGGAAUCACAAGUCUGUUCUCCAUGUCUGUGAGUCUGUUUUUGUUUUGUAGAUAGGUUCAUUUGUGCCACAUUUUAGAUUCCACAUGUAAGUGAUAUCAUGUAUUGUCUUUCUCUUUCUUACUUCACGUAGUAUGAUAACCUCUAGUUGCAUCCAUGUUGCUGCAAAUGGCAUCAUUUCAUUCUUUUUUAUGGCUGCGCAGUAUUUCAUUGUGUAUAUGUACUACAUCUUCUCAAUCUAUUCAUCUGUCAAUGGACAUUUAGGUUGAUUCCAUGUCUUGGCUAUUGUGAAUAGUGCCACUAUGAACAUACUGGUGCAUGUAUUGUUUUGAUUUGUAAUGUGCCAAUUUCUGUUAUACAGCAAGUUAACACAGUCAUACAUAUCAUACAUGUAUUGUAGUUUUUGUCCAGAUAUGUGCCCAGGAGUGGGAUUGCUGGAUCAUAUGGUGAUUCUAUAUUUUUUUUUCUGAGAAAACUCCAUACUGUUUACCAUAGUGGUUGCACCAAUUUACAUUCCCACCACCAGUGCAUGAGGGUGGGGAUCCUAGUUUUAUGUGAGCAUUCACUCCCUUGUUAGCGGGCUUGCUUUCACUUGGGUUUAUAAAUCUGCUGGUUCCAUUCUCUUUACAAGAAAAAAUACUAUACUUUAUAUUUUAUAUUGUAUUUUAUUUGCUUUGAUAGGGAGGGUUGUGCAGUGUACCUAAGCAAACAUACUGCCAGAAAUGGAAGUCCUUUCUACCCUGUUUUAAAAUUUUCAUAUCCUAUUAUAUAUACUUUUUUUAAGUUUCCUCAGCUCUUAAUUUUUAGAAACAGGAAAGGUAGAAAUUAUGAAUGAGUUACGUCAAUAAUGCUUCAAGAUCAGCCCCCAUCUGUGAUAAAUAGUAAUGUGAGAGAAAAAUUUGAAAAUAUGACAUAGUCAUUCGUAAAGUGAGAGAAUAUGGCUUUAAAAUAUGUUUAGGACACAGAUUUUUGUAUUAGGAAAUUCAAUGGUUGUUAUUUUGUUGUUAUUUAAUUUUAUUGACAUGACUUCUAUGAAUCGAGAAUUACUUUCUAUAUAUCCCUGGGUAUCAUGUUUCCUGGUCACCCUAUAAACAGUGGUUAAUGUGCAAUUGGCUGAAUAAAACUGAGCUGGAGACACAGGAGGAAGUAGUUCAAGCAAAUUUUAAUGAGUAAACAUUCUGUCAUCACCAUGAGAGACUGCAGCACCUGUUUUAGGGAGAUACCAGCGUGGUGUCCAUUUUAGUGUCACCCUUCAACGCUCAUGUGGAACAACACGCGGGUUGAAGAAAAAUGAUUCCCAGGACCCUCAUUUCUUAGGUUUGUGUUGCAAGGCUACUCAUCAUGAUGCCACCCUUAUUAUGCCUCUUUUUGUUCCUGGUAUAAAGCAUGUUCGCAUCGUCGCUGUUGCCGCUGAACAUGAGUUGUUAUGUCUGUAAUAAAACGCUGUUCCAGGAGACCUCUGAGUUCAGCGUUGAGGGAACACGAGUUUGCCACGUUCAGUAGGAAAAAAGAAAACCGAAACAUUUUUCUCGUUUCCUUUUCCCCGACUAAAAUGAUGAAGCCUCUUAGCUGUGUCUCAGAAAAAGAAGCAGAGCACAGUGUUCCGUGGAGCCUCGCGCCCAGUGCUCUCACUGGGAAGGCGGUGCUUCCUCCUCACCUGCUUGCCUUCUGCGCUGCUUGACUCUUGUAGGAGGCGCGUCAGAAAAUAGCUUUUGACAAUGUAGAGAGUGAUCUUCUCUGAAAACCAAAUUUACUUCAUUCGGAUGGAAUAUUUUGGAAUGUCACCUGAAAAGGAUACUCACCUUCAGUCUAUGGUUACCUCAACAUCCAGAAACCCAAAUUCUCUCUGAACGUUUCUAAAUUGCUUUGUAAAGACGGCAUCAAUCUCAUUAUCAUGAUGUUGUGUUGAAAGGUAUUAUGCAGUCCUAUUUCUGAACUGACUGGGAGAAUUUUCUCAGCUUGACAUAAAUCCUGAGAUGGUAGACAAUGGUAGAGACUGAGGAUCACUUUGAGAAGAAACUACAUUUUCUUUUUUUUUUUUUUCUUUUUUCAUUGUGAAACACUUUAAUUGCAUUUCUCACUUUAACCGGGUCUAACUCACUCACCCAUUGAUGGCUGAAUUAAGUCUGUUAACAAUGAAGGAAAGGAAAAGUCAUACUUCUGAAAAAAAAAAAAUCAGUGAGCAGUAAGUA
ensembl:lncRNA